ensembl:lncRNA
AUGCCAUCCCUAUCCGUGAUCGUUUUCGCAGAACUAGAACAAAACCGUCCAAACAUUUACACGGAACCUAAACAGGCCCGGAAUGGCCAAGGCAAUCCUGAGGAGCAAAAACCAAGCAGGAGGCACACCUCUCCCAGACUUCGGUCAAUAUUACAAAGCUACGGUAAGCAAGACAGUGUGGCAAAGGUACCAAAACCGACACACAGACCACUGGAACAGAAGACAGAACCCAGAAAUAAACCCCAAACCGACGGUCAAUAUUACAAAGCUACGGUAAGCAAGACAGUGUGCCAAAGGUACCAAAACCGACACACAGACCACUGGAACAGAAGACAGAACCCAGAAAUAAACCCCAAACCGACGGUCAAUUAUUCUUCAACAAAGGGGGCAAGAAUGUCAAGGGGGGAAAAGACAGUCUGUUCAGCGCGUGGUGCUGGGAAGCUGGACAGCCACAUGAAAAUCCAGGAAACUGGAAAACAACACCCUCAAACCGUGCACAAAAGAAACUCAAAACGGCUUAAAGACUUAAACCUAAGACAAGACACCAUCAACAGCAAACACAAACAACGACCCACUUGAAAAAAUGGGCAAGAGAACUGAAUAGACAGUCACCCAAGGAAGAUAGACAGAUGGCCAACAGCACACGAAACAUGCUCAACACCAUGAAUGAUUAGAACAAGGCAAAUCCAAGCUGCUAAGAAGUACCACCUCGCACCUGUCAGAAGGCCAUCAUUAGUAAGGCUAGAAAUUACAAAUGCUGGAGAGGUGUGCAGAAGAGGGUACCCUCCCACCCUGUUGGUAGGAAUGUAACUUGGCACAGCCGCUAUGGAAAAGCACCAUGCAGGGACCUCGGAAAACUAAAUAUAGAACUAGCAUGUGGCCCAGAAAUCCCACUCUUGGGCGUAUGUGGGGACAAGACUUGCCUUGAACAAGAUACAGGCACCCAUGGACGUUGACGACAGCGCCGAGUGUCCAGUGCGGCACUCCUCACGCUAGCCAAGACGUGGAAACCACCUAAACGUCCCACGACAGAUGAAUGGGUUAACAAGAGGUGGGAUAUAUACACAAUGCGGUACUCCUCAGCCGUGAAAGGAAGGAAUUAGUGCCAUUUGCAGCAGAGUGGAUGGAACUAGAGGCGCUCAUCCUAAGCAAAGUCCCUCAGAAAGAGAAACACCAACCCCACAUGAUGUCACUUAUAUCUGGACUCUAAAACACAGCACAAAUGAUCCUUUCCACGGAACAGAAACUCAAGGACUUGCAGAAGAGACUUGUGCUUGCCAGUGGGGUCAGGGAGGAAGUGGGAUGCACUGGGACUCUGGGCUUUAGGGAUGCAAACAAUUGCAUCUGGACUGGCUAUGCGAUGAGAGCCCACUGGAUCGCACAGGGAUACAAUAUCCAGCCACUCACGAAGGAACGUGAUAGAGGAUAGUGGGAGAAAAUGUAAGCAUGUAUAUGGGUGUGUCUGUGUGCGUGUGUGCACGCGUGUGCGACAGGAUCACUUUCCUGCACAGCAGAAAUUAACAGAAAAAUUUAAACCGAGUGUAAAGGAAAAAUUAAAAUCAUUUAAGAAAACUUAGAACUUUCCUGGAGGGGUAAUUCUAGGAAAAGUAUGCUAAUGAAGGGAUCUUAAACCCAAAACGUUGAUCUUAAAAACCAAAAAUAGAACACAUGACAAUACUGAAAUCCAACCACUAUCCAUCACAUGACAGUUUUUCUGCAGGCUUCAUUUGGUGCAUGGGCCUUGAGCAAAAAGGAUGUCUGCCCUCCCAAGAGCCUUACAACAAGAGGGACUUACUUCAUGGAGAGAAACACAGAGGGAGCACGGAGUCCUUCUCACCCAGAUGGGCAGCGAGUUUGUACAAUGGUGCCGCACACCAGGCUAAGGAUGAGGGUGAACUGUGAGCUCUUACUUGCAAGGUCGCCUGGGUGUGUGCUACCUAGGGUGGUCAAGUGUGAGAAUGACAGUGACACUGUCCAAUACAAGCAUACGCCUCGCCGAUUCCCAUCUGCUUUGGCCAUGUUGAAGCAAUGACCGCAGCACUGACAGGGACCUUUUAAAAUGCACAGCAUCGACAGGCCCUCUGGAGACCCUGGAAUUCCCGGGCAUAGACACGGAGCAGGACCCUCCCGCUCCGUGCUCCCCACGAACGACCAAGUCCUGCUGAGGGAGAGGUGCAGGUCAGGGGUCCAGAGCGUCCCCAUAGGGAACCCAGCCUGGGUCCCACUUUGGCUUUCCCAUGUAGGAGGUCAAGAGCUUGGGCCAACUCUCUCUGCACCAUCUCCACCUGAGCAACGGGAAAAUUAAGCCAACGUGGGGACAGCAGUGGUGAGGGCGAAUGCAUGCCUAUAGGGUGGUACGCAGAGGUGAUGGGAUGUUUCUUAAGGAACGUUGAGCGGUGUAUUUUCUGUAUAAAUAGGAGAGAGCUCAUGAGGAAACAGAUACUUACACCACAUGUGCUCACACAUGACCUCACUCCCUGUCCCUCGGAAUGUGUCACAACCCAAGGAAUCAACACAAGAGACUUGUGUCCAGGGCAGGUGCCACCAGGGCAUCACUAUGACUGGGAAAGAGCUGCCUGCUCCACAUCCCAGACUACCCCCUUUCCAAAAGGAACCCAGGAUCUGGCUGCUCUCCAACCAAUGCCCGCAAGGAAGACCCACCUUCUUCUUCUUCACCCCGAUUGUUUGUCACUGGAGUGGGGCGCUCCAAAGCCAUGCCAUUAUUAUUAGUUGCGUCAUCGGCCGGCAUCUAGUGCAAGAAAACAGUGUGAGAAUCUAAGCUUCCUGGUCUCUAUGGACAUGAGAAUUUUCAUGGUCUUUCUGCCCAGCAAAACCCAAAAGGGAAACACUCCUCGAGUCCCCGGUCCCAAAGAAAACACAGAGGUCAUCCUGGACAAAGGCUUCAAAUCUUCCUGUAGGAAUUCUUAUGUGUACUUUGACCAAAACCCACCAAAUUCUCUUGCAAGGAGGGCAAUUCUCUGCUGGUAACAUUGCUCUCAGCCGCACUUCCAGUUUCUAGAGGCUGCUGUCAAUUUUCAAUCAGUCAUGCAUUGGGAGAGACAUUCCGUCAACACUCGUCCAACCCAGGAAAAAUGUAGGUCUCCACUGAUUUGAACAGUGUAGACUUGCAUAGUUGAAACUGACAGACAAAAGGAGGAAAUUGGAGUUCCCGUUGUGGCACGGCGGAACCAAAACUGACUAGAAAGCAUGAGGCUGCAGGUUUGAUCCCUGGACUCGCUCAGUGGUUAAGGAUCUUGUGUUGCCAGGCGCUGUGCUGUAGGUCACCGACGCUGCUCACAUCGUGACUUGCUGUGGCUGUGGUAUAUGCCGGCAGCUGUAGUUCUGAUUAGACCCCUAGCCUGGGAAACUCCAUGUGCAGCAGGUGCAGCCAUUAAAAACCAAAACCAAAACCAAAACCAGAGAGAGAGAGAGGAGAGACAGAGAGAGACAGAGAGAGAGAGAGAGGAUAAAAGAAAAAUUGAGGAAAUGAAGUUAUGCUUUUAUCUCAGAUAAGACAAGGCACUUACUGUGCAGCCACUUGGAGCCUCUAUUCCUCCUGCGGUGCUGGGCAGCCUUUCAUGGGAGCCCGGGUUUCUUCUAGGAGGACACAGAUGGAAGGGUCAUGAUAUUGGUGACGCUGCUCAGGAACUAUUCAGGCAGCAUUGUUGGGGAGUGGUGUGUGAACCCAGGAGGAGAGUAAGGAUGAGGGUGAUUUUGAAGCAUGGGCACACAUGCUGUUGGCUGACCACUCUGGUGGGAUGAGGCUGGCCAAGGGAGGUUCCUUGACAUAAUGAGAAGGGGAGCUUUAAGCUUCCUAGCCAAAGCCAACAUACUCAAUUCAAUGUAGGCAAUUUGAAAAGAGGUAAAUUCCAAAUUCAUGUUCUGGGGAACCUCCCGCUGUGGCUCCGUGCGUUAAGGACCCGAAGCUGUCUCUGUGAGGAGGCAGGGUCGCUCCCUAGCUUCCCUCAGGGGCCUAAGGAUCCAGGGUUGCUGCAUGCUGCGGCGUAGUGUGCACAUGUGGCCUGGAUCCGGUGGUGCCAUGGCUGGGGUACAGCUCUGGGUGAACCCCUCCCCUGGGAACUUCCAUAUGCCACAGGUGUGGCCACACACACAUAACAAAACAAAAAACAAGUCAUGCCAUGUUUCAAGGACAGAGUCCAAUGACUCCUCCAGCCUAUUUUAAAUCCCGUGGCGACUCCCGCUACUUCUUGGAAUGUUCCAAGACCAUUUUUCAUCUCCACACGGUCACAUGCCCUGCUUCUGCUCAGCACAGUGUGAUGGCACAGGUAUAAUAUUUAUCCUUUGCAUAACUGUUAACUAUACAGUUCCGUAGCCUUUUUGACUUCCACACGCUUUUCUACCCAUCAACACUACCUACACCCACACCUUUGUCAUCCUACCCGACAUGACCCAUCACAACUCACCUUCCCCUGGCCACCAGGCCUUGGUAAUUCCUGCUUCUGCUAUAUGAACGUGCCUACACAAGUAGUAUUACACGGGUAUCUGUCUUGCUGUGCACCUGCCUUAUUUCACUCACCACAAUAGCUUUUUGUAGUGUUCGGUCCACCCAUACCCUAACGUAUUUCGAGCUUUAACUCCACUCUGCGGCUAAAGAGUAGCUCACUCGGAGUUUCUUUGGCAUUUCAUUUUGCCAGUCCUCUCAUUCAUCACCACAUUCAUCAAGGCCUUUUGCAUAAUGCCCAUCUUGGACUCCUGGGAGAAACAGGCCAGGGAGCAUUCGGGUACGGAUUUCUCUGUGCUAUAAUGGUGAGAAAUCACAUUGCACAUCUGUCAAAGGGCAGAGCUUAUAAGAGCACCAAGUAUGACUCCUAAGGCAAACUAUUAGUGUUCUGCUAAUUGGAAUAAAGUACACCAGCAUGUGAUACA